UUGGGAAUAGACUCCCUCAAAACUCGAUUCUUCUUUCUUUCUCUUCCAUUGCGUUCUUCUCUUUUCUUUCAGUUUAUCACUGGAACAAACAAUAAUUUUUUGUUACUAAAGAAAAUCUAGAAAGAUGUUGCCAAUGUGUCGUUUGGUCUAUUAUGAAUAUCCUGAUUGGUCUUCUGUUUCUGCUACGAUUCAGCGAGCUUCUUGUUGGUCCUGAUUGGUCUAUGAAUAUGGAUAUAUGCGAGUUUUGUAAUUCUUAUCACUGAAAACCUCUAGAUUGUGGUGUUUUUCUUAAAUUUAUGGAGCAUAAUGGUAAUACGCUAUCAUCUUUGUGCUGUGUAAAAUCAGUAAGUGAAUCUAGAAGAAUUGAUUUAUGGAGAAAUACCUCUUUGAAGGCAACUGAAAAUGAGUCAAGUGAGAGUGAAGAUAACAGAGAACCUAAAGAUGCUAUUCAGGCUACCAUUGACAAGAGCAGUAAGGUUUUAGCGAUGUAUAAAGAGCUUCUUAAACAGGUAAAUGGUUUCGCAUUAGCUUCUGUAUUUGUUUCUGUUUCAGCUGAUUUCAAGUUCAACUGUUCGCAAUAGGUCUUUAUUUUGGUAUUUAGCUAAUUUGCAAUGUUUCUGCAUUUAAUUUUAUGUAGCUUGAUUAGUAAAAUAUGAUGAAUGUUUGCUUGUGAAUGAAUUGUGUACUUCCGCAUUUGGUUUUGUGCCCCAAAAAUUUAUGUGAUUAGGGGAAAUGGAGUUUAAUUUUAUUGUUUAGAUGAUAGAAAAUUGAAACUAAUGGAGAAGAAUAAUCUAAGUGGACAACUAAUCUGUUGGUUGGUUCAUGUUGUUGACCCAAGACUUUGGCGUUGUUGUGUGACGGGGAUUUGAGAACGUGAGUACGUGGCUAGAACUAAUUUACAAUCAGCCUACCUUUCCAAUUUUUUUGUGUUUCUCUGUAUGUUAAGAUUAGUUAGAGAUUGGAAGAUUGCAAUAAUUAAUGUAAUAAGUAGGUUGCAGUAUGAUAUAUUGAUAUCCAAUAUAUAUUAUAAUGUUCUGUAGUGUAUGUGAAUUGUUAAGUACCUUAGUUUUAUAAAGUCUUGUUGGGUAAUACAAGUAGUAUGAAAUCGAAUCACGAUAAUUUGCUCUUCUUGGCAGGGUAAUCAGCAUCCCUCUCUGUUUUUGUUUUGCUCCCUCCGUCUCACCAAAUUUGCCCCAUUUAUGUAUUUGUGAAAUUUGAAUAGUUAGUUUAUAAAUCAAAUUUAUCCCUUUGCGUUUUCAUAUGGUGUUAUCAGAUGGUUGAACCAUUUACUGCUCAUUAUAUCUUUGCUUAAGGAGUUGCAAGACUCUUCUCAUUUGCGAAUUGGAUUAUUAUGGUAAGUAAUAAGGACAAAAAAUAAACAAUCACUAUUUUAGUAAAAAUUGUACUAAAGAACCAAAAAAAAUACUCAUAUAUAUUUAUAUCCCACAAUGUAUUAUUUAAGUGAAAAAAAGUUUUUAUCAUAAUUUUAAAAUGUCUCCAUAUGGUUUUGUUUCUUGAUUUAAUAGAAACGAUGAACUCAGAUUGGUGAGAAACUUGGGAUAAUGGAGGUUGAGUACCGCCCCAAGUGAGUAGCGUGAGUAUUUUUCUCUUGAAGAAUCUUAAUUUACAGUUAUAUCUCAUAUGUACUUUGACAUGCGUUUUGGCAUCAAACAUAUAUGUCCCAAAGUCCAAUGUUACAUGUAAUAGGGUACUUAAAAAACUAAAGAAAACAAAGGCUUUAACUAUGUUUUGGAGUAGAAUGAACUUUAUAUAAUCAUUAAUGAUGAUUGAUAUCUGUCUAGGGGAACACAACCAUUGUUCUGGGAUUUCUGGUUUUUCCUUUGUUUUUGUUUAUGUGGCUGACAGGGAGAACCGUAAACAUUAGCUUGGUAUUUUUCAAUAUUGGAGAAUCUUGUAAUUGAAUGUAAGAUAAACUAAUGGUUGAAAAAUGAUAAAAAUGUAUUGUAGCUUUAUCCAAACACAUACUAAUUGAAUACUGCCUUACUGCUUUCGCAACCAAAUAAAGAGCCGAACUAACUGAUUAUUGGAUUUACAGGACAAUUGCUUUGUGAUUUUUGUACCAUGAUCCUUAGUGUCAUUUAUCUUUGCUGAAUUUACGUUGUUAUUCGAGAAUAACAAUUAUUUCUUCCCAUUGAUGACUUGAUUUGUUCUAUAUUUUAGCAAAACAUGAGUUAGAAAGACUUAUAUAUGUGCAGUUAAUGUUUACACUUGCUAUGUACUGAUAUUCAAAGAGUUUUGUUGAGAUGGGCAUUAAGGUUUUGUUUUUGCUUUAUUAUAUUGUUAAGUUUUUAUUUUAAAGAAUCAACCAUUCAUUUGGUGGUUUGAGAGAAAGAGGCUACGGGAGGUUUACAUUUGCACCAAAUUUACUCGAAUUGGCUCUUAAGUAUAGGUGAUGAAAACAACUUUGCAUAUUCUUGUGGAAGAUAUUGGAAGUUAAGAAAUAAACACAUGUAUGCUUUUAGCUUAUCCUAAAUUUGAAGGUGGGUUGAUUAGUUUUUCCAUUGGAAGUCAAAUAUGAUCCAUUAUAGAGGAAUUUAAGUGCGUAUCUCACAAUAUGUGUCAUACUUGGUGUGCUCCCAUUCAUACUUGGUGCUCUUCGUGUUUGUUGUGUGAUAGGAUCUGGUGUUAUUUGUCUCCCCCUGCUGGUGUGUGUGAUCUAUUAUUGUUGUUCUGUGCUAAGUUUCUGAUCUGAUCAAUCCCUUCUCCUCUACUGGUGUGUGUGAUUGUCGUCUCAUCCCACUACUGGUGUGUGAGCUAUGUUCUGAUAUGAUCAGUCUCUUUUCCCUGCUUGAUCUCAUGGUUGUUGGUAUGUUCUUUAUGCUGUCUCCCUAUUAGCUACUCUCAUUUUGGGUACUUUGAUCUCACUAUUGGUUUUAGAGGGUGCUGAUUAGUUGCAACAUGCUGUUAGUAAAAUGAGUUCACCAAAAAGAUGAGGAACAAACUGGCUCCAGUGCUUUAGACAAAAGGAUUCAUUGGCAUUGUCCGAUUGUAAUGGAUAUUUUACCAUUGUUUAGGAUAUUUGCUUGGUGGGUUGUAUAGAAAAAACUAUACUUCUUAUGUAUAUAUCUUUUUGAAUUUGUACAUGUAGUUUUAGAUGACUCAUAUAAAAAAGAUUAUUGAGCAUUCAAACUUGAAAUCUAAGUUUGAUACAUACAAACUUUAUUUUAACUGAACCUAAACUUUUAUAAUAGUUUCCAAUAAUUAACUUAAUAUUGAGUUUGAUUUUACAAUUUCCACUUCCAGAAAAUUUAUUUCCUCAGCUACAUUGUAAAGUAGAUUUAAUUAAAUACUCUAAUUUUGCAAUUUUAAUUUGAUUAUACUUUAAUUCUUAAAGGUUAAGUUUUUCCAUUAAAAUUUAAUUUCAAAUAAAAUAAGAUUUCUUGACCAACUAGUAACUUAGAAGUAUUUGGUAAUAUUUUUCCCAUUCUUAUGUCCUUUAUAAAUCCAAUUAUUACUAUGAUUAUUAUGAAGCUAUCAAUUUUUACCUGGCUAGCUCGUUUCAUAUGCUCCCAUGUGAUCUUUUCCCUUUUUAUAUAAUGGUUAUCAAAGCAAAUAAGAUAUUUGAUUAGUAUAAGAGUGAGUAAGUGCAUAAUUAAAUUGUAAAAAUUAAUUAUGGAAGUGCCGCAAUGACAAGUACUAUUUUGUUUUGAUAUUUUAUUUGAAAAAUAACCCAAAUAAUCUCACCGGUAUCCAUUUUUAUGCAAUAAUUUCACAUGUUAAAUACUCUCGAAUAAUUUUAAUUUUAGAGGAUGUUUUUCUAUAAUAUCCCUAGUUUAAAAUAACCUUCCAUUGUAUUGAGAUUACUUAAGUCAAUUAUAAUUUAUAUUAGCUAGUAAUGAAAAUAUGUAGUUUGUUAAGUGCAAUUAUUUGCGUGAUUAUUUAUAUGCUCCUUUUCAGGUGUUUAGUGGUGUUUUUGGGUCAUUUUUAGCUUAUUUGUUCCAAUUGGUAUGUUGUGGCCAAUUCAUGAGAAAAUGAGUUAAUCAUGACAAAUUUGAGUUAUUGUUAUGAAUUUUAUAGCUA